CACAGCAGAACAGCAUAGAAGAGAGGAACCACCCUCCCUCAGCCUGGCACCUUUCAACCUCUUCUCCUCCCAGCCUUACUUGCGCUUGGGAUUGUCCUGACUCAGAGAUAAUUUGAUCUUUUGUCAAGAGUAGGAGCUUGGAUCUUCCCCUGAGGGUUGUUACUCUCUUGCUGUGGACUAUUACACAAAAACAUGAAAAUCUCCCCAAAGGGAAUUAUUUUGGUAUGAGAAACACUAUGCUAUUACAGAUUAAUUUCUCUCCUAAAAUCUAUUGAUUUCACACUGAUUUCCCAGUGCUCUGUUUUGUUCCAACAUUUUGCCAGAGAAAAGAAGAAAUAUUGCAGCUGGGGUUAGGAAGAACAAAGGGACAUAUUCAGGGUUUCUAGUUCUUCUCCCUGUUUGUGUGGAAAGACCAGUA